AUCCGUAGCUGGCUUUGUAAAUGUCCUGUGAAAUCGUUACGCUCAACGUAACGGCGGGCAGGGCAGACUGCAUUGCUAGGGACCAGGAGGGGUAGGGAGUAUUCCCGGGGGAGCGGUAAAAUGUUAUAAUCCCGGGAGGACUACCGAUGGCGAAGGCACUCUACCAGAAUGGAUCCGACGGUGAGGGAUGAAAGCUAGGGGAGCGAUCCGGAUUAGAUACCCGAGUAGUCCUAGCUGUAAACGCUGCAUGCGAGAUGUUGCACAAUCUUCGGGAUUGUGCAGUGUCGAAACGAAGGUGACAAGCAUGCCACCUGGGAAGUACGGUCGCAAGGCUGAAACUUAAAGGAAUUGGCGGGGGAGCACUACAAGGGGUGCGGCGUGCGGUUUAAUCGAAUUCAACGCCGAGAAUCUCACCAGGGGCGCCGGCAGAAUGAAGGCUCAGUCUGAAGGGCUUACCUGACGAGCCGAGAGGUAUUGCAUUGGCCAGCGUCAGCUCGUGCCGUGAGGUGUCCUGUUAAGUCAGGCAACGAGCGAGACCUGCAUCCAUACUUGCUAACGGCGUCUUCGGACGGACUGAGCACAUUAUGGAGACUGCCUUCGAAAGAAGGAGGAAGGUGCAGGCUACGCUAGGUCUGUAUGGUCCGAAUCUCCUGGGCUACACGCGCGCAACAAUGGUAGGGACAAUGGGAUGCAACCCCGAAAGGGGGAGCUAAACCUCGAAACCCUAUCCAAGUACAGAUUGAGGGUUGCAACUCACCCUCAUGAAGUCGGAAUCCCUA
rnacentral:rRNA from 1 species